rnacentral:misc_RNA from 1 species
GGUUCGAUCAUGGCUCGAUUGAACGCUGGCGGGAUGCUUUACAUGCAAGUCGAACGGCAGCACUGACUUCGGUCUGGUGGCGAGUGGCGAACGGGUGAGUAAUGCAUCGGAACGCGUAGUAGCGGGGGAUAACUACGCGAAAGCGUAGCUAAUACUGCACAUUGCCCUUCGGGAAAGCGGGGGGACCUCGGGCCUCGCAAUUAUUAGAGCGGCCGGAUAUCGGAUUAGCUAGUUGGUGGGGUAAAAUGGCCUACUCAAGGCGACGAUCCGUAGCUGGUUUGAGAGGACGACCAGCCACACUGGGACUGAGACACGGCCCAGACUCUACGGGAGGCAGCAGUGGGAAUUUUGGACAAUGGGGGAACCCUGAUCCAGCCAUCCCGCGUGCGAUGAAGGCCUUCGGGUUGUAAAGCACUUUUUGGCAGGAAAAGAAACGGCACGGGAUAAUACCCCGUGCAACUGACGGUACCUGCAGAAUAAGCACCGGCUAACUACGUGCCAGCAGCCGCGGUAAUACGUGUAGGGGUGCAGCGUUAACGGAAUUACUGGGCGUAAAAGCGUGCAGGCGGUUCGGAAAGAAAGAUGUGAAAUCCCAGAGCUUAACUUUGGAACUGCAUUUAACUACCGAGCUAGAGUGUGUCAGAGGGAGGUGGAAUUCGCGUGUAGCAGUGAAAUGCGUAGAUAUGCGGAGGAACACCGAUGGCGAAGGCAGCCUCCUGGGAUAACACUGACGCUCAUGCACGAAAGCGUGGGGAGCAAACAGGAUUAGAUACUAUGAGUCUGCCGCCCUAAACGAUGUCAACUGACUGUUAAGUCUUCGGCCUGUGGCGCGGGCAACGCGUGUUGACCGCACCAGAAAGAUGGACGCAUUAAAACUCAAAAAUUGACG